rnacentral:rRNA from 1 species
CCUACGGGAGGCUGCAGUGGGGAAUAUUGGACAAUGGGCGAAAGCCUGAUCCAGCCAUGCCGCGUGUGUGAAGAAGGCCUUCGGGUUGUAAAGCACUUUCAGUGGGGAAGAAAGCCUUGGGGCUAAUACCCUCGAGGAAGGACAUCACCCACAGAAGAAGCACCGGCUAACUCCGUGCCAGCAGCCGCGGUAAUACGGAGGGGCGGGCGUUAAUCGGAAUUACUGGGCGUAAAGCGCGCGUAGGCGGUCUGAUAAGCCGGUUGUGAAAGCCCCGGGCUCAACCUGGGAACGGCAUCCGGAACUGUCAGGCUAGAGUGCAGGAGAGGAAGGUAGAAUUCCCGGUGUAGCGGUGAAAUGCGUAGAGAUCGGGAGGAAUACCAGUGGCGAAGGCGGCCUUCUGGACUGACACUGACGCUGAGGUGCGAAAGCGUGGGUAGCAAACAGGAUUAGAUACCCCUGUAGUC